rnacentral:rRNA from 1 species
UACAGAGGUCUCAAGCGUUGUUCGGAUUCAUUGGGCGUAAAGGGUGUGUAGGUGGCGCGCUAAGUCGGGUGUGAAAUUUCGGAGCUUAACUCCGAAACUGCAUUCGAUACUGGCGUGCUUGAGGACUGGAGAGGAGACUGGAAUUUACGGUGUAGCAGUGAAAUGCGUAGAUAUCGUAAGGAAGACCAGUGGCGGAAGGCGGGUCUCUGGACAGUUCCU